UUGGGAAUCUUGGACAAUGGGGGAAACCCUGAUCCAGCCAUGCCGCGUGAGUGAUGAAGGCCUUCGGGUUGUAAAACUCUUUCGGCGGGGACGAUAAUGACGGUACCCGCAGAAGAAGCUCCGGCUAACUUCGUGCCAGCAGCCGCGGUAAUACGAAGGGGGCUAGCGUUGUUCGGAAUUACUGGGCGUAAAGCGCGCGCAGGCGGCUAUCCAAGUCAGUGGUGAAAGCCCGGAGCUCAACUCCGGAACUGCCAUUGAAACUGUUUAGCUUGAGGACGAGAGAGGUGAGUGGAAUUCCCAGUGUAGAGGUGAAAUUCGUAGAUAUUGGGAAGAACACCGGUGGCGAAGGCGGCUCACUGGCUCGUUUCUGACGCUCAGGCGCGAUAGCGUGGGGAUCAAACA
rnacentral:rRNA from 1 species